rnacentral:lncRNA from 1 species
CAGAAGGGUCGUGUGGGAUGGGGAGAGAAGCCCCACUGUGGCUCAGCUAGGCCAACUGCUUCUUUUGAGUGUUGGGCCUGGCAUGUUUCUGGGCACAGCCUUUCUGUGACAUUGGCACAGGCCUGGUGAAGAAACUCUGGCUUUAUGGAACAUGGAAAGAUGCUUCUAGAAGGAGUCAAUGAAGCCAAAUCUUCGCUCCAACCCUCACAGUCCUUAUAGAAACAUGCUAUGAAAUCUUCUGGAAUCAUAAUGAAAUGAAAUAACCUAUUUACAUUUCAGAAAAUAUUUUAAAGAGCCACAUAGGUCUAAGGAAUCAGAGCCAGCACUUGGCAGACCAGAGAGAAGAUGUUUAAGAGGAGUAUUACAGAGCUCAUUCAGAAAACUUCAUUUUCCACUCAAUACUUUUUGGGACUGAAAAGCCUAAUGGUACAUGCCACAAUGAGCUGUGGUCUCUUUCUUCUCUGUUCUGCCUCUGAUAUUUAGUCGGGGAUCACUGAGGACUCAACUUGCUACAUCAUAUGCCUCACAUUUUUAAAGAAAACAAAAGCCUGACAGUAGAGAUCUGGGAAGCAACCUGGUGCACUGCCCAUAUUCAUGUCCACCCAAAUUCAAAUUGCAGAGCUGAGAUUCAACUGCCAACAUCCAUUGGCACUACCCAGAGACUGCACUUCCUCUGAUGAGUCAGUUAUUUAAGCUUGAUCUCGGUGGAAUGUUCUGCAUUUAAGAAUAAAAUCUCCAAGGCCUAGGUAUUCCAGAAACCUGUCUGGGUUAUUUGCUAAAAUAUUUUAACAAAAAGGAUAGU